AGAUUGAACGCUGGCGGCAUGCCUUACACAUGCAAGUCGAACGGCAGCACGGGAGCAAUCCUGGUGGCGAGUGGCGAACGGGUGAGUAAUACAUCGGAACGUGCCCAAUCGUGGGGGAUAACACAGCGAAAGCUGUGCUGAUACCGCAUAAGAUCUACGGAUGAAAGCAGGGGAUCGCAAGACCUUGCGCGAAUGGAGCGGCCGAUGGCAGAUUAGGUAGUUGGUGAGGUAAAGGCUCACCAAGCCUUCGAUCUGUAGCUGGUCUGAGAGGACGACCAGCCACACUGGGACUGAGACACGGCCCAGACUCCUACGGGAGGCAGCAGUGGGGAAUUUUGGACAA
rnacentral:rRNA from 1 species